rnacentral:rRNA from 1 species
UCAAGUGAAUAAGUGCAUACGGUGGAUGCCUUGGCAGUUAGAGGCGAUGAAAGACGUAAGAGCCUGCGAAAAGCUUCGGGGAGGUGGCAAAUAACCUUUGAUCCGGAGGUGUCUGAAUGGGGAAACCCACUGACCAUAAGGUCGGUAUCACAUUCUGAAUACAUAGGGUGUGAGGCGAACCUGGGGAACUGAAACAUCUAAGUACCCAGAGGAAAAGAAAUCAACCGAGAUUCUGUGAGUAGCGGCGAGCGAAAGCGGAUUAGCCCAAAAGUUUAUUAUGUUGUAGUGGACACUCUGG